rnacentral:rRNA from 1 species
GAUAUUGCACAAUGGGGGAAACCCUGAUGCAGCGACGCCGCGUGAGGGAAGACGGUCUUCUGGAUUGUAAACCUCUGUCUUCAGGGACGAUAAUGACGGUACCUGAGGAGGAAGCCACGGCUAACUACGUGCCAGCAGCCGCGGUAAUACGUAGGUGGCAAGCGUUGUCCGGAAUUACUGGGUGUAAAGGGAGCGUAGGCGGGGGCGUAAGUUGAAUGUUUAAACUAUGGGCUCAACCCGUAGUCGCGUUCAAAACUGCGUUUCUUGAGUGAAGUAGAGGCAGGCGGAAUUCCUAGUGUAGCGGUGAAAUGCGUAGAUAUUAGGAGGAACACCAGUGGCGAAGGCGGCCUGCUGGGCUUUUACUGACGCUGAGGCUCGAAAGUGCGGGGAGCAAACAGG